UACGUAGGGGGCAAGCGUUGUCCGGAUUUAUUGGGCGUAAAGAGCGUGUAGGCGGCCAGACAGGUCCGUUGUGAAAACUCGAGCUCAACCUCGAGACGCCGGUGGAAACCAUCUAGCUAGAGUCCGGAAGAGGAGAGUGGAAUUCCUGGUGUAGCGGUGAAAUGACGCAGAUAUCAGGAAGAACACCCGUGGCGAAGGCGGCUCUCUGGGACGUGACUGACGCUGAGACGCGAAAGCGUGGGGAGCGAACAGG
rnacentral:rRNA from 1 species